CGUUUUUAUGAUCCUUUAUUAUACAGAGAUCACUGAUGGUUACAAUAUCAACAACAGAGCACCACGGACAUGCUAAACCAGCUGGUGCCAAGAGAUUCAAAGGAUGACUAAUAUACAGAACGUUUUCAUUAAUACUGCAACUGUGGAUGUAAAUAAGUAUUGACUGGUCGGUUCGGUUCUGCUCUGUGUUAGUUUAGAUCUAGUGAUCGAGGUCUACUGAAUUAGAGGAAAUGUCUCUUGGUCUGGUGGAGGUCAGGAAGCCCAGUGCUGGAUGCAAAACAGGUAGGCGAACAGUAGCACCUAUAAUAUAUUUUCAGGAAUUUUUAAUGCUUUAUUAGACAGGGAAAUCGGAAAAGGAGGAGGAGAAUUGUUUCAUUGUAUUUAAAGUUCAGAUAAAUGUUUUAAUGUAUUCAAUGCAUGAAUCACAUCUGUCAGCAUCAUGACCUUUCUACACUAUCGCAGAUAUCCAUGGCUGAUCUACCCAUGACUUCACCAGUCAGACUGACAGGGUUCGAGAUUCUGUUGAUCAUCAUGACUUUUAGACACGGUCAUUCAUUCUAAACAUAAUGCUAGGAAACAGACAGACUGAGCGUUGCAUCAUACUGAUCCAAAGCUCACAUCAAGAAGAGCUGCAUCUCAAGCGAGUAAUUAUCCACACUGUCCAGCUACACUGAAGUGUUACCAGACCAGGUUCCAGGGCUUUUGCCCAGGAUGUUUUUGGUCAUCCCCCAUUGUGUGAUGAUGAUUGGGCUGUGAUCUGGCGAGGUCAUUGUGGACUAGACCGAUAUCAGGACGUCAGCCUCUAUAGAUGCCUCCGCCCAUGUGAAACCACCUCUCACUCACACGCAUGAACAACAGGCACACACACGUGUGCACAUAGCGGACAUGCAACAUGUUUAAAUAUAAACAAUAAUUAAAUAAAACAAUGUGUUGCACUAAAACAUCUAUACAAUCAAUAAAUAAUACUAUUUAUCAGUACCCGUCUAUGCCCACGUAUUAAAACAAAUUACAAAUAAACCCAAACAGCUCAGGAUUCCGAACAAAGACACUACCUUAUCAAGUGUUAUAAUAAUGCAUUAGUAAUUAUUAUACAGCUCUUGGAUGUUGUCCAAGAGUAAGACGACCUACACAUCCAAAUUCAUAUUACAAAUCAUUGUUAGCCAACGUCAAAGAAAUGAAUCAGAGAUAUCAU
ensembl:lncRNA